UAGGGAAAGAUCUUGUUAAAAUAGCCGAAAUUAGAGAGAUUGGGGACUAUUGGAGUAAUUUAUAUGCUAGAAAAAACUAACAGGGUGAAAAUAUGGGGAAUUGUUUAUGCCUGUUGUAUAACCAUAUCAGCGUGCGAUAUCACAUAUCGCAUGUAUCUGGUAUACUAGAUCAGGCUGUUGCUAAUAAUGUGAAUGAUGUUACAAAAUACCAAUGUAAGAGUGUUAAUGUAGAUCAUACAGCUGUUUGUAGGUUAGAAAAAUUGAUGGUGAUUGUAAGAAACCAACAUA